ACCUGACAGCUCAGUACAUUCGCUGUCCGCCCGGGGACUACAAGCACGAGCUUCAAACCCAAAGGACUUGACGGUGCUUCACAUCCACCUAGAGGAGCCUGUCCUAGAACCGAUACCCCCCGUUAAACCUCACCUUUUCUUGCCCAUCCCGCCUAUAUACCGCCGUCUUCUGCUUACCCUAUGAAGGACACAUAGUGAGCAUAAUUGGUUUUACCCUAAACGUCAGGUCGAGGUGUAGCGUAUGAGAAGGAAAGAGAUGGGCUACAUUCAAUGAAUCAUUGAAGUUUUCACGGAUAGUCAACUGAAAAACAAACUUUGAAGGAGGAUUUAGUAGUAAGCAGGG
rnacentral:rRNA from 1 species